rnacentral:rRNA from 1 species
AUGGCGGAUCAUAAGGUGGCUCAGUUGGGGCCUGGAGCUGCGUGCUGCGGCUGGAACCACUGCGGCCGGCGCCUAGCCGCCGGCGCCGUCGAUGGGUCCGUUUCCGUCUACGAUUCUCAGCCGUCCCCCUCCUCCAAGUGGCAGGCCCAUGAGCAUGCCAUAGUGGCUGUCGUCUGGCUUCCUCCGGACUACGGGGAUGCUAUAGCUUGUGUCUGUGCUGACGGUACACUGUCUUUGUGGGAGGAGAUUGCUGAAGAUGAUCAACUUCCAAUCUGGAGAAAAUGUAAAGUCUUUGAGGGUGGCAGUUCCCACAUCCUAAAUGUACAGUUUGGUGUGCUGCUGUCAAGUCUGAAAAUGGUUAUUGCAUACUCAGAUGGUCAAGUGAAAGUCUAUGAACUUUUGGAUUCGUUGGAAUUGGACAAGUGGCAGCUUCAGGCAGAGCUACAGAAUAUUACCGAUCCUGUUUCCAGAAUUGGGAAGCCAGCAUGCAUUUCUGCAUCAAUUGCAUGGAGUCCAAGAAGAGGUGAAGGCCAGCAGGCUAGUUUUGCUAUUGGUUUCAAUUCGGAUUCUCCAAACUUUAACUCUUGCAAGAUUUGGGAGUUUGAAGAAGCUCACCAGCGCUGGCUUCCACUUAUUGAACUUGGUUCACCGGAGGAUAAGGGGGAGAGAGUACAUGCUCUAGCAUGGGCUCCUAACAUUGGCAGACCAUAUGAGAUGAUAGCAGUUGCAACCUGCAAAGGCAUUGCAGUGUGGCAUGUAGGCUUCAACCCUGAAUCUGACGGCAGACUGUCAACAGAGAAUGUUGCUGUACUUCCCAGCCACAAUGGGGAGGUAUGGCAACUGGAAUGGGACAUGGGCGGUAUGACGCUCGCAUCGACCGGAGUGGAUGGCAUGGUUAGGCUAUGGCAAGCCAACUUAAAUGGAGUUUGGCAUGAGCAGGCUGUGCUUGACUGCAAUGGGUCACACCAGUAA